CUUGAGGGUGUAAACAGCAUCAAAUCAAAGCUCGAGAGCACUGGAGCAGGAUGCUCAAUAAAUGCAAACACCAAGCAUGAUAUCGUGAAGAAGGCUAAACUCAGAACUGACGGAAGAACGGUCUGUGUAAAUGACAGUGUUACCCUUAGUUUGGACCAAUGGGUCGCCUGUCAGCGACAAAAAAAGAGUCCAAGUUUGUGAGGAGUCUGGCUACUGCCAUAUGGGGACGCAAUAUUUUGAAAAAUCGAUCUACGAGUGGCAAGGUGUCUAACCGUUUGAUAAAUGAUGGAGGUGCUGCGAAGCCACCACUGACUCCAACAAAACUUAAUGUGCUAGAAGCAUGCUAUGAGGACUGGCUACGUGAACAUGGCGCCAGUGGCGAUGUGUUGGCUGAGCGGAUGGCAGCAAUGACCACACACAUAAACAGCGCCGUACGUGACCUGGGCCGUGACGUGCGGCAUGCGCUAGGUACUGACCAAGAAUAACGGACCAAGUGUCUCUGGAACUAUGCUUGUCAAGGACGACGCUUCCUAUGUUUCCACAUGUAUUAUUUCAGAAAAGUAAAAUUUGUGUUUCAA
rnacentral:lncRNA from 1 species